rnacentral:lncRNA from 1 species
CCCACACCACAUGCAAAAGCACCAAAUCGGGAGAACAAAGCUGCUUGCCAUUGUUCACCUCAUUUUUGAUAAAAAUCAAAGAAGUGCAUGAAAUUGAAUUUUCAGGAAUUGCUCUAAAUCAAAUGGGUUUAGGCUGUCAUGAAUCUGGUUACUCGAUGCUCUAAAUGUCCAGAGAGCAUCGUGAAGGGGUUGAAACGUUUGCAUUUAAUGGUUAGGGGGAAUGUGCUAAACAAAAAUUACUUCUCAAACGAUGCCCAGGUCCUCCGCUAACAAUUCAACCUCCCCUGUUUCUUUUUUUUUGAAACAUUGUAAAAAGGAAGAGGUUCAUCUAACUAUAAAAGGAAAAAAAUGAAGGCACAUGAUUUUAUUCGGUCCCACAAUCCUUAAGAAAAAUGGUAUUUUGCAAGUGUGUAUGUGUGUGUGUGUAUGUGUGCGUGUGUGUAUGUGUGCGUGUGUGCGCACACACAUGAAAUGGGAGUCCAAGGGCCAUUGGGGCAGUGGUCCAAGGGAAGUUGGGAAAGAGAACAAGAGAGAAUUUUUAGACAGAGAGAAGAAAAGAGAAAGGAGGAAGUGGAGGCCUCUCUUCGGCUUUCUGUCAUCGACAGUCUCAGGAUUUGGCUGCUUUAGGGUCCAGAACGGAAUCGGUUUGACUUGGUCUAGAAAGCGCCCCCAGUUAAAUAUCUCCAGUUAAUCAUGUUACAGCUUUUGGUGUUUCCCUUUUCCCUUCCCCCCAGCCAAAUGAUUUUUCUUAAAAAAGCACAGUUUUCAAAAAUUAUUUUUUCAAUUUUGAAAAAAUAUGGAAAAGCUAUUUAACAGCCUGGGUUCCCUCUGCCUCUCCAUCUUCACAGUGAGCAGAUAGAUGGACAAUCCACAGAAUCAAAGACCAGGCGGGCAAGCUCCCUUGUGCUAGAUGGUCACUUGCCCUCCCCUCCCUAGGCUGGGGGUGCCUUCCCAGCACUCACAGCCAUUUCUUUCCACUGGCUCCCUCCUCCCCCCACCCCAUCCAUGGAAUGUUGGCUGCUGAGGAAGGCAAAGCCAUUCUGGAGCGCCAUGGUAACAGGAGGGGCUUAGAGGCCCAGGGUGGAGGGGAUGGGAGGGAGGCUUCUCCUCAGGCAGCCUAGCUGUGAGUUCUCUCUGGAGCCUGGCCCGCAGGGUAGGAGCACGGUUGCUCACUGAGAGGUUGAAGUCCCACUCACAUCUUACUCCAUGAGACCUCAACUCCCAGGCUCGCCACCUUCGUGCCUCUCUUUGCAUCACAGUUGGCCCCAGUCCUUAAGAAGGCAAUGAUCCAAGAUAGAGAGGCAGAGUCAACUGGCUGCGUCAUACAAAAAAGGGCUACGGACAGUGGGAUUUCAGAAACAAAUUGAACUUUGGUUUUCCAACUUUUUCAAACCAUAAAAAUUAAAGCAGGGCUUCAGUGGCUUCGAUCAUCUGACAGCUGUUAUAUUUGUCUCAUUUGGCAAGGCUAAGGCGGGGGGAAGAGAAAAGGGGUUUCCCAUAAUUGGUUGAAGACACAGGGUGGUAAAAUGCUUCCACACUUAAACUCACAGUCCAGUGUUUUUGACAUUUCAUAAAUAGCUUUUUUUCUCUAAAAAAAGAAUAAAACAAGAACAAUCCCUUUACUUACUCAUCUGAAACAAAAUAAACAGCAGUGGGUACAAACUUCUUCUUGUAACAAUUACAAAAAAAACAACAAUAUAAUCCCAACUUUUAACACGCAUCUUGAAUCAGUUAUUUUUUUUAACCUCAAAACUGCAGCAUAUCCUUAAGGGCAAACUUUUCGAUUAGUUUUUUUCUUUUUUUUUUUUAAAUAAUGUCUUCACCAAAAAAACAGUCUUGUACCAAUAAAAUGCAUUCAAAAAUAGAAAAUAUUACACAACAAAAAUAUGUAUCCUUCCUUUCCAAAAAAGGUUCUUCACAAAAAAAUGUAGAAAAAAUUCCAACAAUUUUUUUCCUCUCCUAAACAUUAGCUUUCAGUCUAGGGCACAAUUAUUUAUUGAUUUAAAUGUCUGUUUUUGCAUAAAACAUGGAAGAUGCAAAACAAUUACUGUAUUAGAUUGUGAAGUUACAGCCACUCCCACCCCAAUUCUAAAACAAAACAAACCCAGAAAAACCCAGCAAACACUGAACAAAUGAUACAGCCAGUUGGCUAGGAAAAAUCUAUGUCUUUCUUUGCACUGUGCAUUUGUGUGGGUUAACUGGCUCUCUUGGUAUCCAGGAAUGCUGAAGAAGGGAGACCAGGUCGGAGUCCAGAGGAUCUUUAGCAUUAGCUGAUGUUCCAAUAAGUCAUUUUCAGUCUCCCAUUUUGCAGGUCAAUCCGCUGCCACUCCUCACGGAGAAGAGAAACACGUGAGGUGGUAUACGGGCAGAGGACUAAACCAUGUCCAUGUGUGUACUGUACACAUACCUCUGUACAAGCCACUUUCUCAACCAUAGCACAUCAUUUUUUUUCCUUCAAAAUGGAGCUCAAGCAUUGAAUGAAAGGUAAUGGAGAGCUCCAGUGGGAUGAGGAAGGCUGGGGUUAUUUUCUCCAUAGCAGCCUCUCCCACGUUGAAGCUGUUUGGGCAUGAAUUGGAACAACGACAAGAUCUCAGAUCUCAAAGGAAUGCCCUAUUUUCCCCAUCCCCAUGGAACCCAGGUUUCUUUUAUGGUUUCAGCAUUGUAGCUGAAAUAAUAUAUUUUUCUUAUUUAAUGGUAUUUCUCUUUCAUGUGGGAUGUAUUUUGUAGCUUUUUUUUCCUGUGGCUUGUUUGGUUGCUGGUUUUUUCUUUGUGGUUUUUGUUUUGUUUUGUUUCUGAAUUUUUAAACAGUGAAAUGUGUCCAAUUUUAUUUCCAGUGCAUUAAACAAAUUUUAAAUUAAAAGAAGAAAUAAAACGUUUCCCCCCAUCCUUCUAAAGGAAAUGACUGAUAAAAGUACAAUAUAAUAAAAAUCAGGCAUUGCCAAAAAUAGCAUGAUGUGCAACCUCAAUGACAUUAGAGAAAAACAAACAGACAAACAAGAAUUAUAGAACAUAAGCAUGAAGGAGCCAAGACAACAUAAUCCCAACGAUGGUAUGAUUGACAAGCACUGGUUAAAAAAUAGGUAAGGCUACUCUUAGAUUUCUAACUCAACAUAGUUAACCACUGCUCUUCUGUCUUUUCCUUCAACUCUUAAUCUUUUACUCACUAGUUCUUUAUAUCUUUAAAAUGAACAAAUUUGUUUUUAUAUUUUUGGUCUACAGUAGAAUUACAUAUUCAUAAUAUAACAAAAAGAUAUUUCAUUGACAGGUUGGUACUGCAUCCAUGUGGGGAAAAUAGAAAAAAAGGACUCAAAUAGACAUAGCAAAUGGAUUCUAUUCUUAUAAAAAUAAUCACAAAUAUAAUAGAAAUUAAAAUCAGGGCAACAGAUUAAACUGAAAACGGGUGUAGAAAGGUACAUUUUGGAUAAUACAAACUCCUGACAAGCUAUGCCCUAGAAAUGCAGCCUCCAAGUCUUUCCCAAGAUUUCCACCUUUGCGUAGCAUCACUCAAAAUUCAAAUGGAAAUGGAAACACAAUGAAAAUAAGGAGAACAGAUGGUUGAGCCAGCCAAAGCUCCCAAGUUAUCUUAGUUGACUGGUUAAGACCAGGUGGACAGCAUUCGAGAAACUGGGAGGCCGCAGGGGAGCUGCUGAUGGUAUCUGGUUUUAAUUUUGGAGGAGUUCCCAGCCCACUGAUAAAGAGAGAAACCAAGGAAUCAAAUAAUUCUUCUGGUCACAUACAAUAUAUGAGAUGAAAUGUAAUUCUGAUAGACAGGACAUGGUGGUGUGGUGGGAAAGAGAAGAGAGAGGAGAGAUAGGCAAACUUCAGGCACCACCUCCUUUGUUUUCUUCAACAUAUUGGUUUCCUUCUUUUUCUGAGCAUCCUUCAGGAUUAGCUACAGGCCCCCGUGUCCUCUCAGCAAAUAUGUGUCAGCUCAGCUCUCAAUCUGAUAUCUAUGCCUAUUGGCCUUCCUAAAGGCUAGGUGGCUUUGGAGGAUCCCCGCCCCCCACUGUCCUGUGCCCUUGAUGAAGCAGAGGAGGUGUGCAAAGUUGUAACGACAGAGGCCCUUUACAUUAACCAGCCCUAAUCUGAUGAUUAAAUCACACUGAUGGUUCAGUGUGGAAAAAAGUGAAGGAAAAUAAUUGGUAAGAGUUGAGCUUGGUAAUCAAGAAGUAUGAAGUUUUCUUCUAGAAAAAAAAAGAAGAAGAAGAAGAAAAAGAAUGACAUCAGUCAGAAAAUACUGCUUUUGGUUUCUUUUAACUUCAAACCAUCCUUGGUUUUUCUCUCAUUCAGUUGCUCCAGUUUAAAGUAUAGAAUCUAGUGCAAAUAUCAUCAAAUCACAGCAUUCCAGGAGCAAUAUCCUAUUCCUUCAUCCUAACUGAAUACUAUCCCUUGAGACCUCCUCAGAAGACUGAGGGCAAUGGUCCAGCAAAGCAUAACCUAAUAAAUGAUUAAUCUAAUACUCGCUACAACAAGGAAGGCACUAUCAAAACAGAUCAGCCUCGAGCAUUUUCCUGGGCAUGGGCAUGGACAUUUUAACCACUCGAGGGACCACAACGAGACCCAGACUGUGGCUUUUUCAGUACUGGAAUUCACUGGCCAGUUUUCUGACACCCCCACUGGCCACUGCUGCUGGUUCUGGCCAUGCAGAGCACCGAUCUGCUCCGCGUCCAUGUUGCCCCACGUUUCACCAGUGAUCCUUGUUUGGUUCUAAAUGAUUGAGCUCACUCUCUUCCAUGGAAGUUUCUUUCUCUCCAUCAGUCUCCAGGUCAUGACUCAACUGAAGACUAGUUUACAGUGUCAAGUACUAUUGUAUACUUUUUUCCUAUUUUUUGAACCUCUGACCAAACCCUUAGCCAUAAAGACAGUUCAGUAGCUCCUCUAAUAACCAGUCUCCUGUAAAUAUCACUGUGAAAAAAUGAAUUCAAACAGAUCCCUUGAGCCUGCUGUAUUACUUUCAUCCGGGAGAGAGCAAGUUGGGCUCAUGAGACUAAAAUCUUUGGUGACAAAACUGGAGUGGGUAUGCAAGUUUCAAGGAAGAAGUUGUUUUCCCAAAACCUCAAGAGAAGUAUUCUAGGAGAGUUAAUGUGAAUAUAUUUUAAAAGGUCAAUUAUUCCUUUCUGUAACUUUGGUUUGGUGCAGUCAACACCCUCUUAGUGCUUACCCAAUGCACAUCUCUAAGUACCUGUUAAGAGCUUUGAAUUUAGAGUUUCUUAUUUAAAACGAAGAUAAUGCUUUGAGUGCUUAAAGGAUUGCUUAUGUUAGUUCCAAAAGCUUUAAAUGGGGUUUUUCUGACUACCAAGGCUGACAGCUUCCUUAAAAAAUUUUUAACUUGAAAUAGUAGACUUGGAUGGAUGCUAAGGAGGAGAGAGAAAGAGAUAGGAAUCAAUGUCGUAAUCUUAGGAAAGAGGCCUCAACUGAGAGUUUUCCAAACUGACGCCUCCACAUGAGAUAGUGUUCAGAGAAAUUCAACAUUAGCCAUUUAUAUGGGUUGUGACCCUUUCCAACUGAACCAGAAUCUUCAAAGCUGUCACCCUGGAUUCUGAAAGUGUCCUUCAGCAUCUUCACUCUUGUGUGAUUAUUCCCUAUACAAUCUAUUGCUUUUCCUGUGGUGCAACUAUUCUUUUAUGAAUAAUCACUAAAGAGCUGUCAAACUCUAAUUACUUCUAAAAUUAAAAAGGGCAAUAAAAGUGAAUCCAAAAAGGAAAGUUGGAAAAAAUCCAACAACCUCAGAACUAAACUUUUAGGCACUGUUAAGGUCUUCUGCUUGAUAAAGGACAGUCUAUGAUGGAGCAGCUACUAAGUAGGUUCUGAUCAAUCUUCCAAUGCUUCCUCCAAUUUCAAAGUUGGUCUAGCUUGUUUCAAAAUAAACCUUUCACCUCACUGGUUUUCAGUGUUUAUUGCACUGUUCCCUUACUGUCAUCUUAAAGGAUUUCACCACAUGCAUGGCCUUCCUCUUUGGUUAGCCUGAUCUAGGUUUCACCCAGGGAUGGAGAAGCAUGCUCAGGCUGAAAGGGUAUCUCCAAUAUGGACAAGAUUACGUUCUUUUGAGGGGAGGACAUACCACUGUCCUCUGCCACAUCGGAAUGUGCAUCAGCAAGGGCUUUGUGGUGUAGGCCAAGGCAAAGACUGCCAUGUCACCUCGGUUGGCUUCCUCACCAUUGCAGCUCUUACCGAAAGCUUACUUGGAGACAACAUUGAGCAAACUUCUAAAAAGUUUUCUAUUUACUGUACUAACCCAGGUUCUUUAUAAUAAGAAAACAGAUCCUGUCAGCAUGGCAGUUUCUAGGCUUGAUUAAGAGUUGGCAGAUUCCACGAUUCCCACCAACCCUGCUAAGACCAAGCAUGAUGGAAUUAACCCUCCAUUUUUGCGAUGCUUCUAGUUUCAUAACUUGCUUCUUUCUUUCUCAUAACUCACACACUCUCUCCCAGCACAAGUAAAUACAUUUCAGUAGUGCAAUGCAGUGCAGUCAUACUUAGUGCAAAAAAAAAAAAAAAAAAAAAAAAAAGCCCUAUUACAGACCCAAGCUCAACCCUAAACAGCUCUUACUAAAGGUUACCAGUGCCACAAAAGUGGGAAAUUCAGUCUUUCGCUCACUUUCCGUGAGUCAUCUCUUUUGUUGCCCCUGUUUGUUUCAGCUCAAAGGAGAGAAACUACUAGCAUGCACCUAUGUAUUAUUCUGGAAAAUGUUAAGCCAAUGGGCAGAAAAUACAGGGAAGUAGUUGAGUUGAAACCAGGGGUAGUAUUUAGAAGAGGAAGAUAGUUAUUUAAUGCAAAAGUCAGUAGUGGUUUUUACUGAAUGGUUUUCAUCAUGUCAAAUGGCUCCGAUGCUAAAGGGAAUGGGUACAGAAAAAGAUAAAGCUUCCUGUUUCCCCAAACACAGUCCUAAAUUUAACAGUGCUGGGCUCUUAUUUCUGAAUAGUGCAAUUAGCUAUUCCUCGAGGGCCUCAGGCAGCCGCCACCUUACCUAACAUAAAUAGGGACACUAAGAGCUCUCGCUUUUUCACAUUGACUCCCUUCCCCCUCACCUCAUUUCUCUCCUAUCCACUUUUUUUUUCUGACUAAACAUAAAUACAUAUCUACAUACACAUACACAGAAAUUCUCAAGGCCCCUCUCAGGAUGGUAGAUUGAAAAUUGGUACAAAUAACUCAAUGACACAUUCACACAAAAAGUACAAUUAUUAAAUAUAAAAGUGAAUUAUUACACCAAAAUUAAGAGUCUGCAUUGUACCUCUUCUUGUAUUAUUCUGUAAGAAAAAACAUUCAUAGUAGAAUAUCUUUUGGAGCUUACUUCUCGCUUCAGAUUAACCUAGAAUUAGUUUGGGAUAUGGAAGUACUGAAUGAUUCUGGAGAAAUGCUUUGCAUUUGAUAAUCCUCAAGAAUCCGUCUGUUCAGUUUGUCUGGAUCUCGACUCUCCAAAUCUAAGUCUGCAUGUCUGCUCACACCCACACCUGCACGCUGGAAGUCUCAGGAGAAUCAAUGUGUGGUUUAGAAUAGUUUAUAAAAGCAAAGGUGUUUGGCAUAGUGGGGUCAGCACAUUCAAAUGACUUUAAAACAUCAAGUUACCAGAGAUUUUCCCUAUACCAUCAACUUCUUGCCUUUGCUUGCCACGAUGAGGAUUAUUCAGAGACUGCUAACAUUGACUCUGAAAUCACCAUUCUCUCAACAAUAGUGCAAAAAAUAAUUUUAAUUAGAUAUGUGAAAGUUACCCUUAUUUUCUAUCUCAAUAGAUCCCUCAGGGAAACUGAGGCUCAGAUCCAUGGGACUGAGGAAGGGGUCCCACUGCUGAGAAUGCCUUGGAGAAUUUUCUCCUCACAAGUCUACAUACGGAUGGCUCCAAACCAAAGGUUAUCCCAAGGAGAGCAGGAGCAGAGUAAAUAGCCUUAUUUUUAAGAACCCACUGGCAGUGAACACACACAGAGCACUUGAGACUAUGUCUAACUCUUCUAUCAAAUUGGAACCAUUAUUUUGUUUUGAGUUCUCUCUCUGCAUAUGCCCUGGAGAACAGAUUAGGUAGAGGAGCAGUCAAGGGUGUCUACAAUUUCUCUACACGGGUUUGAUAGUAUUAAGAGAAGUCUUAAAUCAAGAAGAAGUGAGGUUAUCUCACUAAUUCUUAGGACUCUAAUAGGAGAGAUUGGCAAGAAUGACAGAGAGUGAGUGGUGUUAACUUUCCCUGGGAACGCUAAGAACUGGCUUUAGGAAGCCAGAACUGCAUCAGAUUUAAUUCCAUCACAAUGCCCUGUGUCCCCACCCUGCACCUUUGCUUUUUCUCUGUUCACUUAACUGAAAUCAAUUAUUUUAAAGGUUGAGCUAAGAAUGCAAAUUAUAGCACAAAAGGCAGGUUAGAAAAAGGCAGGCUAUCUGUAAAUUGAAUUGAAAAUAGUAUACAUUCAAAGGAAGCACUACAACUUCUUUUUAUUUAAAACGUUUCUAAUUUGGUUUUUCCUUCUUUUGUGGUGGUGGGGUAUGGAUGGUGCUGGUAAUGUAGUGCCACUCUCCCUCUGCGACCAUCACCUCCAGCACCAGGUGGGGGAGAUGAGAAGUAAUGGAGAAAUGGAUGUUUCUCUAUUUAAGACUUCAUGAACACAUACCAUUUUGAAAUGAAUAGAAAUCUGAACAAUUAUAAAAAUCUAUAGAUCGAUUGAUUAUGGCAUAUUAGUAGCAUCCAUUCUUUUUCUAUUCUAGGUAUUCUGCACUAGAUACUAAGAAACAUCCGAAGAGAAUUUUCAUUAAACUAAUUUAUUCCCAGCCUCAUUCCAGAAAUUUGAGGAGGCAAUAGAGAUCUGUAGUGUAAAAUGCAUGACCUUCAGCUGCAAUCAAUUCUCCAUUCUUUGGCCCCAGAGCUGAUAGUUUAGGUAAAUGGAGUUUCUUUCUCAAGGAAUAGUUUUUACUUUAACUAUUCUACCCUCAAAGUGCAGAGAGAAUUUGUCUCCUCAAAACUCAAGUGCUACUAUAAAAGGAAGAUACAAUUUUCAUAGAGAAGAGACUCAUUAAUGGUAUAACAGAAGGCGUUCAUUCUAAGAAGGAAACGAGUACGUCAGGGUGGGCAGGCAUUUGACUGAUGCCUAUGGCCAUGGACAGUAUCAAAUUAAAAAAUCAAAAUCUUUGACUAUUUUGAGAAGAAAGAGAUAAAGAACAAACAAAUGAACAAACAAACUUUACUAAAAUACACAUUCCUCCAGUUUCAGCUUUCUAAAAAUUAAUAAUUACGCUUAAACCAAGGUUUACAGAUAGCAAACAACUGUUUUAAUGUGUAAAAGUAUUAUCCCUUUGCUUUACUAUGUUAGUUUCACUUUCUUUGAAGGAAUUGCAUCUGUGCACACUUGUCCUAAAGUCCAGUGCAGAAAAUAAGCUGGGUUGUCACCAGCCUCAAUCUCAGAACAUUUCCUAAACUAUAUUUGCAAAUCCUAAAACUAUAUAUCUGUAAAAUGAGAUGCAGACUUUCUGAAAUGCAUUGUGGUGGGGGUGGGGGAAGCAAGCUUUUUAUGGAGAAAAGAAGAAAGAAAUCCAUUCCUAUCCUCCCAAAUACAUACUAUGUUUCUGACCAUUAUUUUGCUGCAUUAGUUACUGUUAGGGCUAUUGGUGCUCCUGACAGGUGUCAGCCUGGAAAAGCAGGAGGCUCAUAAAUAACAAGAAAUUCAGACCCUGGAGUCUCUAGAAUAUUAAACAGGAUUUAGACAUUUGUCUAGACUAAUAUAGAGGUUGUGGUGAGAAAUUUUGGGUCUCAGGGUUAGAAGCCUUCUUGGAGAACUAGAAGGAACAAUGUCAAGAAGGCAUCCUGGAGAAAUCCUCAUGAUUAACUGGACCAAAUGGGACCUAGCAGAAUCAGGUCCCCUCCUACUCCACAUUAUACUAUAAAUGAUAGUAUUUAGGACUUAAAAGAGAGUCUUUUAUUCUUGCAGAAGCCAAUGGCUGAGGAGAAGAGUACUUUAGAUGAAGAGUACUUUAAAGAAAGAUAGAGGGAAUCAGAAUGGACAAAGGAAGAGGAGACGGGAUUGACUGGGAGAGUAUGCCAAGUGAAGAUCACAGUCUUAAGCAACAUAAACGCUGGCUUUACAAAUUGUUGGUUCCCUGCUAGAUGUGGGACUCAGCAAGGCUUUUGAACCUUCUCUUUAUUUCAUUGCUCUCUAUGGUGUGAGUUGAUGGUAUAAACUGGUCUGCUUAAGACAAAAGCUGGGUCAAGCCUCAAGUCAAAUGGGAAUACAUUUCUGACGUCAAAUGUUGAUUCUGUUUGUCAAUGGGUAAAGCGAGAAGUGGAAGCACAUCCCUGCACGCUCAAAACCAGGUAGUACUGUAAAUGUCACAGACUUUGUCUUCAUAAGAGACCGGAGGCAAUGCGGUAUCAUGGCAAGAGGGUUGGACUGGAAGUCAGAGAAGCCUGUGUUACAGAGUUGUUGUGAAGAUAUCAUUAUGCACAUCCCGUAAAGGGACAGAUCCAGAAUAGUAGUGGUCUUUUGGGCAAUGCUCUGGUGACCAGACAGUUGCAGCUCAUUGGAAUGAGAUCCAGCAUGAUGACCAAAUGAUAUGGUGAGUAUUUAGGUACUGGGGAAUGUAUAUAGGACACUUCAAGUAUCUAUUCAUCCUUAUUAUUAUUUCAUUUAAACAUAUAUUAAGUUUAUGUUUAAAAAAUAGCUGGUUGCAAAAUAGACACUUUAAAAACUUUAUGGAUCUUUUCAUCCUUUAGCAAAUUACUGCUCAAAGUUCUAAACUAAUCAACAAUUUUUCAAAAAGAUAAAUAAAAAAAAAUUCUUCCUAAUUGUCUCUUACAUUGUGUUUGAGUUCAAGUGGCUUUACUUGUUUCAGCAGAGCUCACUAAGGCUUGAGCAGUUAUCAAAACUAUUUUGAAAUGUUACCCCUUUUGUUAGAUUUCUGUAAAUCUAGUAUCUAGUACAUACCAUGUCAUUUGGCUAAAUAUUAGCAGGAGUUGAAAUAGUCAAGAUUGAUGAUUUUUUUUCCUCCCUCAGAAAUUGUCUACUCAUCUCAGGAAUUUAACCACUACGGUAUUUAAAGAAAAAAAAAAAACCCAGAAAAUAUUUUUCUCUUUAUCUUUGGCCAGACGUGAAGGUGAAAGGAAUUAAUGACCUCAGCUAGUACAGCUGACAUUUACAAUUGUGACUCAGGUCCUCCCACUCUCAAAAGAAUAUUGAUAACUUUUAAAAUCUGAAGGUACAGUGAGGAUACGCUUCACUCUGCCUAUGAGUCUCAAGUUGCUGGACUCACGUCAACGCUCUGUAACUACAUAAAGCUUAAAGAGGAACAUUCAGAAUGGGGUGGGGGAAGGAAGGGAAAUGAGCAUUCAGGGGUCAUCAUUAUGAGAGUUCUUUGGGCAGUAAUGAGAAGAAGAGGUAAUUUAAAAUAGUCUUAAAGAGAAACAAGAGAUAAAGAGAAAGGAUUAGGAAAAGGAAAAUAACGAAGUUGAUAAAAUUCGGGUAUGAUGUAAUCAUUGGAAAAGGAAAAGCCUCACUAACUCUCAAUUCACGAUUAUGUUCAUUUAGUAGAAACAUAUUUAGUUGAAAACUUUGGAGAAAGAGAUUGAUAAUCUUGCUAUUAGACUGUCUAUGAGCCUCUUCAAAGUAGACUAGAGUAGGUAGUUGCUUGCUGAGUACCAGGCUUCACAAGAGGAGGGCAUGGAGGGGAGCUUGGCUAAGGGGGGUGGGGAAAGACUUGUGGAAGGGCAUGGCAGACAGGGAUGGGAGUCAAAAAUAAAAAUCUAUUAGGAAAGAUGAAGGGAAGGAAUGGGUGUUAUUCACACUGAGAAGACGAUGUUGGUCCAGUGUGGGAAGGGGUUUCACACUAGGUAUUAAGAACAGCUAUUUCCAUUUUGCCCUGAAUGCAGAACCGAUGGAACGAGACUGGUUUCAGGCACCCAGGAUAGAUGUAAAGUUUAUCCAGCUGUGGGGUUUUCCAGGCAUUGGGUUGAGUAGUUGAGGGAAGCUGAAGAAGCUCUCUAUCUGAAAAUACUAGCUGAAGUAUUUCUUGUUAGGAAGACAGGAUGCCUAAUUUCUGAAGGUUCCAUGAUGGCCUGGUGAAGAAGAAAGGCACCAAAUCCCCACUUGAACAGACAAAUGGAGAUACUGAGGGCCGAAUACCCAAGAGCCGCCAUUUUAUGGAUUCUGCAGACUUAAAAAUGAGAUAAAUAUUUCUGAGUUCUAUUUCUAUCAACUUCUGUCAUGAGAAAGUUCCUCAAAUUCUGGUUUUAUUAACAAAAAAACCUCCUAGGAAAAUGAACACCAUAUUGCUGCCUCCAGGGAAGCAUCGAAGACUAGCUAAAAUAAUUAUGAGUAUACUGAAAACAAAGUAGUCAGUAAAGAAUCAGAAUUUUAAAAAAUCAAUGUUUGAAAACACAGUUGGGACAACUAGGCAUUUCGCUGCUUUGUGCUUCUCAGGUGAGCAGCCCUCCGAAAUGCAGCCUGCAAUUGUUGGUCAGAUCAUAUGGAGGUUAAGCGGCCCCCUGGUCAUAUUUUUAAAAGCAAAUAUAGACAGUGACAGUCCUAGAGGGGAAAAUCACAGAUACAUUCAUAUGCACUUCUUUUGUUCUUCAGAUAUCGAGAGGGUCAGCUAAACAAAAUCACUUUGAACAUGAACCUCUUUGUAUCAGCCACACCAAAAAAAAGUUUUCUUAAAAAAAGUUUUCACUUUCCUACAUUUGCUAAGUCUGAGCUUAAAAAAAAAAAAAAAAAUCUAAAAUCCUGUAAAGACAAUACCGAAGCUGAUAAUAUAAAAAGCAAGCUAGAGCAGUAAUGAUUAGUACUAAAUGCACCAGGUUAACUGCAGCAGGUUUGUGACGGGUGAUAAAUGCAAAGAAACAAUGUUUCAAUCAACUCAUGAUCAUAGGCAGAUUCAAAAGUUAAAAUGAAUAUAAUGUAAUAUAUAUUUCAAUAUAGAGUUGUUAUAUAUAAUGUGUAUGUUCUAGGUUUCAGAAAUACUGCAAUGUAGUGUACUGUACUUAAGUAAGCAUACCUAAAUUGUAACUCAUAUUCUUCCACAGUCACUAGUACUGUUAAUGAAAAAAAACAGCUCAUUUUUUUCCAGUAAAAAGAAAUACCUAUGGUUACAGUCACAGACUUCUUUUGGAUAUAGAAAGACAAUAU